GGCGCUAUGGUGUAGCGGUAGCACACGGGAUUCUGAUAUUUGUCUGUCGUAUCUUCCCGUAACCCAGGUUCGAUCCCUGGUAGUGCCU